rnacentral:rRNA from 1 species
UACGUAGGGGGCAAGCGUUGUUCGGAUUCAUUGGGCGUAAAGGGUGCGUAGGCGGUCGCGCAAGUCGGAUGUGAAAUCCCCAGGCUCAACCUGGGAACUGCAUCCGAUACUGGAUGGCUUGAAUUCGGGAGAGGGAUGCAGAAUUCCAGGUGUAGCGGUGAAAUGCGUAGAUAUCUGGAGGAAUACCGGUGGCGAAGGCGGCAUCCUGGACCGACAUUGACGCUGAGGAGCGAAAGCUAGGGGAGCAAACGGGG